GAUGAACGCUGGCGGCGUGCCUAAUACAUGCCAGUCGAGCGAACAGAUGAGGAGCUUGCUCCUCUGACGUUAGCGGCGGACGGGUGAGUAACACGUGGAUAACCUACCUAUAAGACUGGGAUAACUUCGGGAAACCGGAGCUAAUACCGGAUAAUAUAUUGAACCGCAUGGUUCAAUAGUGAAAGACGGUUUUGCUGUCACUUAUAGAUGGAUCCGCGCCGCAUUAGCUAGUUGGUAAGGUAACAGCUUACCAAGGCAACGAUGCGUAGCCGACCUGAGAGGGUGUUCGGCCACACUGGAACUGAGACACGGUCCAGACUCCUACGGGAGGCAGCAGUAGGGAAUCUUCCGCAAUGGGCGAAAGCCUGACGGAGCAACGCCGCGUGAGUGAUGAAGGUCUUCGGAUCGUAAAACUCUGUUAUUAGGGAAGAACAAAUGUGUAAGUAACUAUGCACGUCUUGACGGUACCUAAUCAGAAAGCCACGGCUAACUACGUG
rnacentral:rRNA from 1 species